rnacentral:rRNA from 1 species
AUUGAACGCUGGCGGCAGGCCUAACACAUGCAAGUCGAGCGGAUGAAGGGAGCUUGCUCCUGGAUUCAGCGGCGGACGGGUGAGUAAUGCCUAGGAAUCUGCCUGGUAGUGGGGGAUAACGUCCGGAAACGGGCGCUAAUACCGCAUACGUCCUGAGUGAGAAAGUGGGGGAUCUUCGGACCUCACGCUAUCAGAUGAGCCUAGGUCGGAUUAGCUAGUUGGUGGGGUAAAGGCCUACCCAGGCGACGAUCCGUAACUGGUCUGAGAGGAUGAUCAGUCACACUGGAACUGAGACACGGCCCAGACUCCGAGGGGAGGCAGCAGUGGGGAAUAUUGGACGAUGGGCGAAAGCCUGAUCCAGCCAUGCCGCGUGUGUGAAGAAGGUCUUCGGAUUGUAAAGCACUUUAAGUUGGGAGGAAGGGCAGUAAGUUAAUACCUUGCUGUUUUGACGUUACCAACAGAAUAAGCACCGGCUAACUUCGUG